rnacentral:rRNA from 1 species
CCUACGGGUGGCAGCAGUGGGGAAUAUUGGGCAAUGGGCGCAAGCCUGACCCAGCAACGCCGCGUGAAGGAAGAAGGCUUUCGGGUUGUAAACUUCUUUUCUCAGGGACGAAGCAAGUGACGGUACCUGAGGAAUAAGCCACGGCUAACUACGUGCCAGCAGCCGCGGUAAUACGUAGGUGGCAAGCGUUAUCCGGAUUUACUGGGUGUAAAGGGCGUGUAGGCGGGGACGCAAGUCAGAUGUGAAAACCACGGGCUCAACCUGUGGCCUGCAUUUGAAACUGUGUUUCUUGAGUACUGGAGAGGCAGACGGAAUUCCUAGUGUAGCGGUGAAAUGCGUAGAUAUCACGCAGAACUCCGAUUGCGAAGGCAGCAUACCGGCGCCCGACUGACGCUGAGGCACGAAAGCGUGGGGAUCGAACAGGAUUAGAUACCCCAGUAGUC